GCCUGCCCCGCCCGGCGCCGCACCACGUGGGCCAGGCGCCCCACGCCUGGAGCUCCCCUCUCUGGAGCCCCGGGAAAGGAAGCGGGGCAGGGAGGCCGGGUGGGAGCAGGGGGGUCUCCGGCGCUUCCUCUCCUCUGCGGGCGCCGCGCGGCUCCUGAGAGUCCGCCCCCCGUCCUGACGCUCAGCUAGGAAGCGGGUCCUCGGGCCCCUCCCCCGACACACACACACACACACACACACACACACACACACACACACACUCUCUCUCUCUCUCUCUCUCUCUCUCUCUCUCUCUCUCUCUCUCACACACACACACACACACACAGCCCGUCUCGCGCCUGAGGUCUCGCCCGCAGGCCGGUGGCGCGGGGUCAGCUGCUGCCUGCGGUCCAGGACAGGGUCGGUUCCGCCGCGCAGCGCCCAGGCCCAGCUCGUCCAGAGUCUGCGGACAGCGCACGUCCAGAAGGAGCUGGUCCGUUACUAGAAAAGUCCAGAUGCAAAGUCGGGGGUCGUGCUGCCGCUUCCUGCCAGCGCACCGCACCCACCUGGGGCCGCCACCGACCGCACAGGACGCGCCUCCUACCCCCUGUUCUGGCCCGGCCGAGAGCUGGUGCCCCCAGCGGCCGCCCGCCCCCGUCCGCAGACCCCGGGGCCCUUGCUGCUUUGCAUUGGGAACAACCGGAGCCAGGCCCGGAGCUGAGGGGGCCAGGGCCUUUGGAGGAAGCAUUGGCCUCCAGGCUGAAGAGCAAGGGCCGUGUCACCUGCCCGGAGGGCGGUCUCAUCUCUGCAGCCAGGUCAGAGGAAGCAGCGGUGGGGAGACGGAGUGCGCGAGUUGGGAGGCUCCACGCAUCGUAGGUGGAGAGCUGGCUGCCAGCCUGGCCUGCCCUCUCUUCCCCGUCCCACCAUCUCGCUUGGCUCCGGCACCUGCCUGGGAAGACCCACACCUCCGUCUGCAGUGCCUCUUCCCCCUGGAGGCCCUGCCCUCCGCUCGGGGUCCCCGCAUCCUUCCGUGGCCCUCAGAGCAUCGCCUGGGGCGCCCGCGGAACUCAUCUGUUAGGCCUGGGAUGCAGGCAGGCAGAAGUGGGGGUUUAAGUGGAAGCAGUGAGGGUGGGGGUCCGGUCCAAACUGUGCCACCUUCCACCCCCUGCCCCUGGGAGAGCAGACAUCGCCCACUCGGGCUCACAGUGCCAUCCGGGUGAGGACCUCCGUGGAGAGCUCUCUUUGCCAAAGAAAAGCAGUUGCAUUAGGUCUGCGAGCAGGCAGGGUGGCCUCUUCCUGGCUCCCCAUCCACCAAGGAAGCUUCAAGUCCCUGGGACACAGAGUCAUCUCUGGUCCACCUUGAAGUCCCCAGGAAAAUGACCUCGUCCUCCGCGGGUGUGAGCCACUAGGCCUGAGAGGACGCCGGGACGGAGCUUUCAGAGAGGGAGGUGUCGGGAUGGCUUGAGGGUCACCAGGUAUUAAUUAAGCACUUGCUGUGUGCCAGGCACUUUCCCACACAGGAUGGAGCCGGGCCACCCUCACAGCUCCUGCCCUGCAGACGCUGGCCUUGUGGAGGGAGGCAGGCAGCAGGAGCAGUGCUUUCUGGGCCUCUGUAGCCAGAGCUGGCCCUGCUGCAGCUUACGUCUGCCUGCAGCCCAGACGUCCUCCUGGUCCUCCUGAUGCCCCCGACCUCCACGGAGGACGAGCAUUUCCAGCCCAGCCCUCCCCAUCUUCACCUCGCACUCCCCUGACACACUGGGAGCCUCCUGAUCCGUGAACCCGCGCUGGCGGGAGUAGCUACUGACCGCUGGGGACCCCUGCCCAGGCUGUUCGCAUGUGGAAAGGAUUCAGGGAGCAGGCGAUGCCCAAAGCGUGGAGACCAGCACUGCUCUCUCCCCAGUGACAGUACAGCUGUGCCGUGUACAGGAGGGUGCUGUCUGACGCCAGACACCUGGACUACAGAUCGCAGCCUGAUUCCUGGUCAUUGCUCCACUGAACCCCAGACCCCAGCCUCGUUCUGGGCCCUCAUCCCCUAGAUCCAGGGACCCCAGCCCCAUUUCAGCCCUUGGGCCCUUGUAGGAUGCGAGGCCCUGGGCCCCAGCCCCCAGCCCAUCCGUGGCCCAGGCACUGGGGGGCUGAGGUCCUCUGAGAAGGGACACAGGGCCUGGGGGGCUCUCUCAGCCCAUCAGCAGGAGAGGACUGACUCCAGAAAAAUCAGCGUUUGUACCCACUCAGGCUGCCAAGACCUGUGUCCGUCCUUCCAAGCUCAACCUUCAGAGUUCAUGAGGCCCCUUGCCCAGAAUGUCCACAGAGUUCAUGAGGCCCCUUGCCCGGAAUGUCCACAUUUGAAACCUCCCAACACCGAGCCCCAUUUCAAGUAUAACCAGGAGGGAAAAUGGUGCUUGAAAUAAGCAUGCCACAAAGGAAAACCUGCUUUCUCGAAAUGGGCCCUGGCCGCCCAGGCCCUGACCUCCCCGGCCAGGAUGGAACGUUCCAGAGACCCAUUAGUGCCAAAGGCAAAUGAAAACACACCCUGUGAAAAUGUCUC
rnacentral:lncRNA from 1 species